GUGGGUCUUUAGUUCAAACAAGCUUAAGAAGAGGAGGCUUAAUGCUACAACUAAAUAAGAUCUCAAGCACAUUUUGUAGUCAAACUUUUGUAUUGGUUAAAGCAUCCCUUCUUUUUUAUUAGUAUAUUUUUUGCUUAUCGGAAAAAAUUAAUCAUUGUUAUUAAGGUAUAAACUCUAUGUUUUUAUUCUCUGUGUGAUCAGCACACAAAACG
rnacentral:lncRNA from 1 species